CAUCAUUGUCGUUUUCGAAUUACAUUUGGCUCUUUUUAUGUCGUUUUAAAAUCUCAUUCGGCUAUUAUUGUCGUUCUUAUUUAUUCCUUGUCGUUUUGUUCAUCUCAGUCAUCGGUUUACUCAUUCUCCACUCUCCAAUACCCGGGACUGAACUGAAGGAGUCACGUACCCACGUUGCGUAACCACCAUGAGGCACUCCCUCCACCACCACCGCCGCCACUUCCCAAAACUCAGCUUCUCCACAACAACCGCCUUGACCACCACGCGCCGCCACUACGCCACCAAGUACACAGCCAAAGUAACCUCAACCUCUCCCACUGGGCGAUCACUCUCGGCGGAGGUUACACCGCCAUCUCCUCUUCCCGUCGACGUCCGAGGGUAUGCACUGCCCCGCCACGAGCUCAUCUGCACGGCCACCCGAAUCCUACUCCGCCGCCAAUACUCUCCCGCCACUACGGACCCCUUCUCCGACUUAUCGGAUUACCUCGGCUCCCUCUCCGUCACCCUAACUUCAUCCGAAGCCUCCGAAAUCCUGAAAUCCCUAAAUAGCCCUCUCCUGGCCCUUCGAUUCUUCCAGUUUUGCUCCUCUCUUUUUCCCGAUUUUCGCCAUGACUCGUUCACCUACACCCGGCUCCUCCUCAUCCUCUCCAAGUCCACCUCCGCCGACCGCCUCGACCUCGUUCGCAACGUCCUCGCCGAUAUGGAGCGUUCCGGCGUGCGGGGCACCAUCUCCACAGUGAAUAUUCUCAUUGGCCUUUUCGGCCUUAGCCAGGAUUUGGACAUGUGCCUAGGUCUGGUCAAGAAAUGGGAGCUGAGAAUGAACCCUUACACUUACAAGUGCUUGCUUCAAGCCUAUUUGCGAUCUCAUGAUUCGACCAAAGCUUUCGAAACAUAUCGGGAAAUGCGACGCCGUGGCUAUAAAUUGGACAUUUUUGCUUACAAUAUGCUAAUACAUGCCUUGGCCAAGAACGAUAAGAUUGAUCACGCGUAUACGAUAUUUGAAGACAUGAGAAAGAAGCAUUGUGAGCCUGACGACUUUACAUACACAAUUAUGAUCAGAAUGAAUGGAAAAUCGGGUAAAGUUGAUGUAUCUCUGGCUCUUUUUCAGGAAAUGAUAACAAAGGGAUUUACUCCUAAUCUAAUCACUUACAAUACUAUGAUUGAGGCCCUUGCUAGUAACAAGAUGGUUGAAAAGGCCAUCUUUGUCUUCUCAAAAAUGGUGGAAAGGGAUUGUAGGCCGAAUGAAUUCACUUACAGUGUGAUUUUGAAUGCUCUUGUUGCUGAAGGGAAGCUUGGUAGAUUAGAUGAGGUUGUGGAAUUAUCAAUGAAGUACAUGACUAAGCCCAUAUAUGCAUUUCUUGUAAAAACAUUGAGUAAACUAGGCCAUGCCAGCGAAGCUCACCGUUUGUUUUGUAACAUGUGGAGCUUCCACGAUAAGGGUGACAGAGAAGCAUGCUUUUCCAUGUUGGAGAGUUUGUGUGCCAGAGGUAAAACGAUAGAAGCUAUGGACCUUCUGAGUAAAAUUCAUGAAAAGGGAAUAACCACUGAUACUAUCAUGUAUAACACUGUAUUCUCAGCUCUUGGAAAGUCGAAGCAAAUAUCCCAUCUUCAAGAACUUUACGAGAAGAUGAAACAGGAUGGCCCUUCCCCAGACAUAUUUACGUAUAAUAUUUUAAUUGCCAGCUUUGGUAGAGCUGGGAAAGUUGAUGAGGCUGUUGAAUUAUUUGAAGAACUUGAAAACAGUGAUUACAAACCUGAUAUUAUAACUUACAAUUCCUUGAUCAAUUACCUAGGGAAAAAUGGUCACCUAGAUGAAGCGCACAUGAGAUUCAAGGAGAUGCAAGAGAAAGGAUUGAGUCCUGAUGUUGUUACUUAUAGCACUCUCAUUGAGUGCUUCGGCAAGACGGAUAGAGUUGAAAUGGCUUGUCGGUUGUUUGAUGAGAUGCUUGCUGAGGGCUGCUACCCUAACAUUGUUACAUACAAUAUCUUGCUUGACUGUCUUGAGAGAUGUGGGAGAACUGCCGAGGCAGUUGAUUUGUAUGCAAAGCUUAAGCAGCAAGGCUUAACCCCAGAUUCAAUUACAUAUGCAGUUCUUGAUCGUUUGCAAGGUGGUUCUCAUAGGAGGAUUAGAGCUCGAAGGCAGAGUCCAAUAACAGGUUGGGUUGUCAGUCCUCUUAGAUGAGAAAGGCAGUUUCGGUUAACAAGAAAAUCUUGUUACCAACUCUACAAGUAACUCCAAAUGUGCCUUUCUUGAAUUCUCACCGAUCAAGUAACUUUUGCUGGAAAGUUGGGAGAACCUUUCGGAAUCAUAAUAUGAAUCAAGCCCAGGAAGGUGGGGCUUGUAUGUUAGGGAAAAAAUCAUUAGAUUGUGAAUUGGAACCAAGAUACUUUAAGGGUAAGAGUCCUUUCUUGUCAUAGGGAGUAAAAAUUUUUUUUUUUUUUUAUAAAGCUUUUAUUAAUCAUCUUAAAUACGCACAAUCAAGAAGUCAUUAUGCCAGCAGCUAUUGUUUUCUUGCUUCCUUGUUGCCUUAAUCUGUUAUACAACAGUUGCUGAUGAAAUAUCAAACUAUCAAAGGCUGGUGAGAAUUUCAGUGUUAAACAGAGACAACUAUUAAGUCCUGCUCGAUCACUGCCAAAAGAUUGAAGAUACUGGUUCUUGAUGGAGCAACUGCAGCUGUUGAUAUCAGAACUGAUGCUCUUUUUCAAUGAUCCUUAUUAUUGCUCCGCAGACUAAAUAUCGUUGUCAAUUGCUGCCAAUGAGGUAUGUUUCAAUGCUAAAGCUUUUAAACUCUGAUUUGUAUAGAUAUUUGCUCUUGUUUAUAUCUACUCAUGUUCCCUUAUUAAUACCUUCUUGAAGAGAGGACAACUUGUGUAGACAACUUGGUGGGUAUACCGCAUCAAUUCCUACCCAAUGUGGAAAUGUGUUUUUGUAGCAUUAUAUUGUCAGUGGCGGAACUACGUUAGUCUAAGAAGGGCAUGGCCCCCAAAUAUUUUGGUUCAUAUUUAUAAAUAAUAUAAUAGUUGGCAGGUAAUAGGUGAUUCUAGGAUAAAGUAUUCAAAUAUUUUACAAAAUUGGACAUAUAUAAUUAUUAAAUACGUAUAGAUGUUUCAUGCUUUAUGAAUAUUGACUAGUUCAAGUUUUUUUUUUUGUUUUUUUCUAAAAAUUUACCAGUAUGGGAGCUUAUGAAUUGGCCUAAUGGGCAUUUAAAUU